rnacentral:lncRNA from 1 species
AUCAAAACAGGCCUGGGGUUAACCCCAGGUUUAUGAUUGACUCAAAUCGACAUGGCAGUGCUUUGCUACUCCUGAGGGAAUCCUUCAGGGCUACAUACAGAGGAUGCCAGCACCAGCUCCAGGCGAGGACUGCUAUGACUCUACAGCUCUCAUGACAGCAGAAUCCUCCUCAAUCCCAAGUGAGCAGAACCAGGGACAGUCAGAUUUGAACAGAGAACUCCUGCCACUGCCAAGGAGCUAACAGGUGGAAGGAUGGAGAGGAGUUAGACCUGAACCAGAUUGAGACACAAAUGGAGGAGCCUUGGACAUCACCUGGGGCAUGUGGACCUAGUGACUAAGAAGCUGUCAUGGCCCUGGGACAUCUCUGCAGCAGCUA